rnacentral:rRNA from 1 species
GACGAACGCUGGCGGCGUGCCUAAUACAUGCAAGUCGGGCGAAGUUUUUCUGGUGCUUGCACUAGAAAAACUUAGCGGCGAACGGGUGAGUAACACGUAAAGAACCUGCCUCAUAGACUGGGACAACUAUUGGAAACGAUAGCUAAUACCGGAUAACAGUAUUUCUCGCAUGAGGGAUAUUUAAAAGUUGGUUAUGCUAACACUAUGAGAUGGCUUUGCGGUGCAUUAGCUAGUUGGUGGGGUAAAGGCCCACCAAGGCGACGAUGCAUAGCCGACCUGAGAGGGUGAUCGGCCACACUGGGACUGAGACACGGCCCAGACUCCUACGGGAGGCAGCAGUAGGGAAUCUUCCGCAAUGGGCGAAAGCCUGACGGAGCAACGCCGCGUGAGUGAAGAAGGAUUUCGGUUCGUAAAGCUCUGUUGUUAGGGAAGAAUGGAUAUGUAGUAACUAUACAUGUAAGAGACGGUACCUAACCAGAAAGCCACGGCUAACUACGUG